UAGGGAAUCUUCGGCAAUGGGGGCAACCCUGACCGAGCAACGCCGCGUGAGUGAAGAAGGUUUUCGGAUCGUAAAGCUCUGUUGUAAGUCAAGAACGAGUGUGAGAGUGGAAAGUUCACACUGUGACGGUAGCUUACCAGAAAGGGACGGCUAACUACGUGCCAGCAGCCGCGGUAAUACGUAGGUCCCGAGCGUUGUCCGGAUUUAUUGGGCGUAAAGCGAGCGCAGGCGGUUUGAUAAGUCUGAAGUUAAAGGCUGUGGCUCAACCAUAGUUCGCUUUGGAAACUGUCAAACUUGAGUGCAGAAGGGGAGAGUGGAAUUCCAUGUGUAGCGGUGAAAUGCGUAGAUAUAUGGAGGAACACCGGUGGCGAAAGCGGCUCUCUGGUCUGUAACUGACGCUGAGGCUCGAAAGCGUGGGGAGCGAACAGGAUUAGAUACCCUGGUAGUCCACGCCGUAAACGAUGAGUGCUAGGUGUUAGACCCUUUCCGGGGUUUAGUGCCGCAGCUAACGCAUUAAGCACUCCGCCUGGGGAGUACGACCGCAAGGUUG
rnacentral:rRNA from 1 species